AGUGAAGCGGCAACAGCUCAAAUUUGAAAGCUGGCCCUCUCAGGGUCCGCGUUGUAAUUUGUAGAGGAUGAUUCGGCGAGGGCUCCCGCCUAAGUCCCCUGGAACGGGGCGUCAUAGAGGGUGAGAAUCCCGUAUGCGGUGGGCUGCCUUAGCCAUGUGAAUCUCCUUCGACGAGUCGAGUUGUUUGGGAAUGCAGCUCUAAAUUGGAGGUAAAUUUCUUCUAAAGCUAAAUACUGGCCAGAGACCGAUAGCGCACAAGUAGAGUGAUCGAAAGAUGAAAAGCACUUUGGAAAGAGAGUUAAAAAGCACGUGAAAUUGUUGAAAGGGAAGCGCUUGCAACCAGACUUGUCCGCAGUUGCUCAGCCGGUCUCCUGACCGGCGUACUCUUCUGCGGCCAGGCCAGCAUCAGUUCGGGCGGUCGGAUAAAGACCCCGGGAAUGUAGCUCCCCUCGGGGAGUGUUAUAGCCCGGGGUGGAAUGCGGCCAGCCUGGACUGAGGAACUCGCUUCGGCAAGGAUGCUGGCGUAAUGGUUGUAAGCGGCCCGUCUUGAAACACGGACCAAGGAGUCUAACAUCUAUGCGAGUGUUUGGGUGUCAAACCCAUACGCGUAAUGAAAGUGAACGGAGGUGGGAACCCGCAAGGGCGCACCAUCGGCCGAUCCUGAUGUCUUCGGAUGGAUUUGAGCAAGAGCAUAGCUGUUGGGACCCGAAAGAUGGUGAACUAUGCCUGAAUAGGGUGAAGCCAGAGGAAACUCUGGUGGAGGCUCGCAGCGGUUCUGACGUGCAAAUCGAUCGUCAAAUUUGGGUAUAGGG
rnacentral:rRNA from 1 species